rnacentral:lncRNA from 1 species
UUCCAAUUAAGGAAUUCAUAAGGUUUAAAAUUUGAUAUCCAGAAAAACAGUGGACUCAUUACAUGUGAUUCAUGUUACUGGGUAUAUUAAUUAAGCAGAAAAAAUUGUCCAGAGGGGUAAAGUCACCAAACUGCAUUGUUUCCAGAACCAGUUUAUAUAGGUAUGCUUAUAAUGAGAAAUCCUGCUUAACUACAACCUUUUUGCUACACUCUCCUUUUUAGGAGAAUGAGGCAAAAGAAGACAGUGAAAACUUAUAAUUUUGGGGAUUUAUUUAAUACAAGAAACUCCAGUUCCCUCCAAUUUUCUGCCCCUAACAAAACUGCAAAGAAAUUAUGAAUAUUCUGAGAGAUGUACCCAUCUCUCAGAUGUACCCAUCCCAAGGUACCACAUGAUCCUAAAUCAUCAAAAUGAAAUUGAUUUAUGUUUGGUGUUUUGUAGUUACUGAGCCACAAAGUUAAGUUGAUUCACUUUACUUUAGAAAGUAAAACUUGAGAAAGUUUUUUAGAAACUAACGGUUAAAGCAAGAAGAGUUUUCUUGUAAAUUGUUGAUUAACCAGGAGAUUGGAGUAUUCUGGUUCAUUGAGAUUUUGUUGUAUAUUGAUACUUUAUAGCUCUCUUACCAGUUUGGUUCUUUUUAUUAUUGAGUCAUAAUGUUUGGUAUUAAGCAAGGACACUUGAAAACUCACCAGCUAUCUUUAAAGGCUUCGUUUGUUUUUCAUUUAGUUUUUUCACCAGCUAUUUUGGAUAAGGGGAUGUUUAUAUUUUAAUGUAAAAAAUGAAAACAGGUAUAAAUAAUGUUUUAUGU